AAGAAAAAAUCAAUUUAAGACAUAAAUAAUUUCCAUCCCAAAAAAAUUUUAAUUGAGACAGAAUUUGAGAAGAUUUUCUGUCUAUGGUAAGUUAAUAAAAUAUAUAUUUUUAUUUGGGGUAGAAUUAGAUUUCCAUCCCCAACAUGGGAGAACAAAAAGAAGAAAUGAUGAAAACGUGAGAAGAGAAGAGAAGCUCUAGUCCAAGAAAGUUGUGUUUGUCGCCAUUUUCUCUCCGUCUUCUCGUGUCCUCUUGCUAACCACCUGAAUCAGUGACAUAUUCUUACUUCCUCUCAUCGUUAUCCUUUUCGCUUCCUCUUACCGACGUCCUUUUUGCAUCCUCUCACCAGAGUUUCUCUCACCUCCGUCUUCUCGCCGUCACCACCGUCGAAUAAAAGUUUAGGAAGGAUUCCACACAAGGGUGAACUAUUCAAGAAGUGUCACACAAGGAAGGGAACAAUAAAUUUUGUGGACAAGAGAUCAAGUGAUGCAUAUGAAAAUUUUAUGAAUUUAUGUUCACAAGUUGAGUCUCAUCCUCAAUCUUCUGAGUCUGGUAAUGUCGAGAGUGAUACUCAACCCAAGCCUAUUGAUUAUGACACUUUAAUGAUUGAAGUUGUUGGAGGAAUAAAUGUAAAAGGUAGAGUAUAUGGACUUAGUUUAUAUGGAAACAUGUGUGCCCGUGCCUCAACCUCUAGGUCAAAGAAAUAUUCAGAUUAUGUUGAUAUUGUUCGUGGUAUGAAUGAAGAAGUUGAGGUGCGAUUAAGAUAGAAAAUUGCAGACCAACAAAACACAAUCAAUUCCAUCCUUGCUCGGUAAAAUAAAAUGUUUGCCGCAUUUUCCAAACAUGCAAAUAUUGAUUUGGAUUCAAUGGAUUUGGAUGAAGAUGAACUUUCUGUUGGUAAUGCUACUCAUGAAAGUAAUGCAAAUAAUGGUAGAGAUGCAUAUCAUGAGUAAUAUUGUUGUCUUUGGAAUGAAGAAUUUAAAAACCAUUAGAAGUUUAAUAUUUUGUUGGAUUUUA